UGGAGGACCGAACCGACUAAUGUUGAAAAAUUAGCGGAUGACUUGUGGCUGGGGGUGAAAGGCCAAUCAAACCGGGAGAUAGCUGGUUCUCCCCGAAAGCUAUUUAGGUAGCGCCUCGUGAAUUCAUCUCCGGGGGUAGAGCACUGUUUCGGCAAGGGGGUCAUCCCGACUUACCAACCCGAUGCAAACUGCGAAUACCGGAGAAUGUUAUCACGGGAGACACACGGCGGGUGCUAACGUCCGUCGUGAAGAGGGAAACAACCCAGACCGCCAGCUAAGGUCCCAAAGUCAUGGUUAAGUGGGAAACGAUGUGGGAAGGCCCAGACAGCCAGGAUGUUGGCUUAGAAGCAGCCAUCAUUUAAAGAAAGCGUAAUAGCUCACUGGUCGAGUCGGCCUGCGCGGAAGAUGUAACGGGGCUAAACCAUGCACCGAAGCUGCGGCAGCGACGCUGAUGCGUUGUUGGGUA
rnacentral:rRNA from 1 species